rnacentral:lncRNA from 1 species
GAUACAUCGCUCGUAAAAUCUCGGAAGUCGCUUGGUCACAACAAAAUUGGACAAAAUUCAAAAAUAUCGUCAAAACUGUUUUGAUUUCUGCACGUGAUAAAGAAGAAAUGAAGACGGUCUACACGAAUGAUGUAAUACAGGGCUAAAACAAAACUACAGAAGGUGAAAAAUACCGAAGAUUUACAUCUACAUUUGUGCUGUCUGAUUCAAGCUGUCUGUAAAUACAUCUACAACUUGGUAUGUUUCGAAUGUGCAACGUGCUGCCUCGCGCUUUGAUAGAAAUUUUGUAAAAAGAACGAACUUUUGGUGGUUUCAAUGAGCUCACUUGAAAGCGAGAUAAACCCACGUAUAUUGAAAGAAAUCUGGCAGGAUUAUUUGAAAACCAGAGAUGAAAAGGUCUGUUUAGUGUAGUAUUAUUAAUAUUUGUCAUAAAUUGCAAUCAUGCAGAACAGCUAGUCGAUCGAAUAUUGUGUUUACGUGCUUAUGUUUCAAGUGAUUUUGGAUGAUUUUGUAUCUAGAUUAAACUGAGUUAUGUUCUUGUUCUUAGGAAAAAGAAAAAAAGCUUCAUCAGUUUCUUGGGGAACUAAAAGGCUAUGAAAUUUAUGAAGGAAGUCAAAUUUCUGUUGACAGGUACAAUAUGAACGUGCAUACAUAAUUUAUACACUUGGGUACAGAAUUGUGACUUUACUGUUCUAUGCCUAUGGUCAUAAAAUUGCUGAUAAUGU